GACAGGCCUGAAGGAUGCAGUCCAGGGCUGUGCCUGGCUUAGGGGACAGAUCAGAUUCUAACGCAUGUGGACUUCAUCCUUUGUCGCCAGACUCCGGGCAGACGCCUGAGCGCCCCCAUCUGGACCAAGGGACGAUGCCCGGGCCGGCAGUAUUGAUAAUGGACCACUCAGAUGAAUCUCUGGACCCACUCAGGCAUCGUCCAACCUACACAUUACAAAGCCCAGCCUUAAAGGUGCCCACUUCCGGUGCUAGGGGACCUGAAUAAAGCAGGAAGAAUGGGUGCCCCAUGGACAGCAGACACACCGCCCACCUGGACACCGAAGUACCCCCAGAGCCAUCCAGAAAAGCCACGGCCAUGUGCAGUCAUGGGAGACCCCAGGACAAGAGACCUGCC